AGCCAUGGACAUGUCAUUUGAUCUUGAGACGCCAUCAUCUUUGUGGGCAUAUGGCAUUUCGCAAUCAGAGGAAUUUCUUGCCUUGGGGAUCCAGAAUACAUCCCCAAAAGGACAAGAGAGAUAAAGAGAGAGAGAGAGAGUUCGCUUUUUCUUUUUCCUUUUCAUGUGCUUCUUAACGAAUUAGAAGGAGGGUGAUCAUCCAAAAAGUUGGAACACCAUCAAGGAAAAACCCAAGUUGAGUCAUUUCGAUUCGAUUUCAAAUUAUAAAAAAUAUAUAUAUACAUUAACAUAUAUGUAUAAUAUCUUGAUGAAUAAGAAGAAAAUUAUGGGUUCCACCUCCUCCAACUGGGGUACAAUGUGCAGCAGACUCAUGAACAAGGAGAGGCUCGAGUCAGAGAGAGGGUGGCCACCACCCUGGACUGACACCAUGAUGAAUUCAAGCACUGGGUUCGGGCCUGCCAGAGAUGUUUCCUCCCCCCCAAAACCUCAAAUUAGAUAAAAGGACCCUCUCUGCCCGGCAAAGUUGGACUCUGUCGUCAACAGUGAUGUAUUUUGCUAUGUUGCAAGGGGCUCCUCUUCAGGUUCUCUCAGCUUUCUUUCUAGCCAAGCAAUGUCCUCGCCAGGUCCCGAGUCUUGGCACGAAGAGGCAAGACUAGAAAGCUGAGCCUGAGGGACAUCUGAAGAUCGAUCUCUUGCGAUGUUUAGGAAAAUAUGGUGGUGGCAAAGGAAGAAAUUGGGGCGUGCGGGAUUUGAUUCUUUUCCGUUGAUAGAGUUUCGAUUCUGGGAAAUUAGAAAGAGUUGUUAUAUCGCGUGCUAAAGAUGCAGUCCAGAUUCCACCAUCGAUAGAAUAAAUUUGAGUAUUUCGUUUCCUUUUAAAAGAACUCUCUUUUUUUUCAUCUUUAUCUUUACUUGUGCAAUACCCAUUUUUCUAUUUCUCUAAAUGAAUUCGAAUGCUUUUAGUCUUUUUGGCUAAAACAAAAUUGAGUCA